rnacentral:rRNA from 1 species
UCCAGACUCCUACGGGAGGCAGCAGUGAGGAAUAUUGGUCAAUGGGCGGGAGCCUGAACCAGCCAAGUCGCGUGAGGGAAGACGGUCCUACGGAUUGUAAACCUCUUUUGCCGGGGAGCAACGGGGUCCUUGCGAGGGCCCGAUGAGAGUACCCGGAGAAAAAGCAUCGGCUAACUCCGUGCCAGCAGCCGCGGUAAUACGGAGGAUGCGAGCGUUAUCCGGAUUUAUUGGGUUUAAAGGGUGCGUAGGCGGGCUGUUAAGUCAGCGGUCAAAUGUCGGGGCUCAACCCCGGCCUGCCGUUGAAACUGGGGGCCUUGAGUGGGCGAGAAGAAGGCGGAAUGCGUGGUGUAGCGGUGAAAUGCAUAGAUAUCGCGCAGAACUCCGAUUGCGAAGGCAGCAUGCCGGCUCCACACUGACGCUGAGGCACGAAAGCGUGGGUAUCGAACAGGAUUAGAUACCCGGGUAC